rnacentral:rRNA from 1 species
UGGAACGGGGCGUCAUAGAGGGUGAGAAUCCCGUAUGCGACCGGCGACCAAGCCCAUGUGAAACUCCUUCGACGAGUCGAGUUGUUUGGGAAUGCAGCUCAAAAUGGGUGGUAAAUUUCAUCUAAAGCUAAAUACCGGCCAGAGACCGAUAGCGCACAAGUAGAGUGAUCGAAAGAUGAAAAGCACUUUGGAAAGAGAGUCAAACAGUACGUGAAAUUGUUGAAAGGGAAGCGCUUGCAACCAGACCUGCCCGCGGGCGAUCAGCCGUCCCUUCGGGGGCGGUGUACUCGCCUGCGAUCAGGCCAGCAUCGGUUCGGGCGGCCGGACAAAGGCCUUGGGAACGUAGCUCCUCUCGGGGAGUGUUAUAGCCCUUGGUGCAACACGGCCAGCCUGGACCGAGGACCGCGCUUCGGCUAGGAUGCUGGCGUAAUGGUUGUAAGCGGCCCGUCUUGAAACACGGACCAAGGAGUCUAACAUCUAUGCGAGUGUUUGGGUGUCAAACCCGUACGCGCAAUGAAAGUGAACGGAGGUGGGAACCCGCGAGGGCGCACCAUCGACCGAUCCAGAUGUCUUCGGAUGGAUUUGAGUACGAGCAUAGCUGUUGGGACCCGAAAGAUGGUGAACUAUACGUGAAUAGGGUGAAGCCAGAGGAAACUCUGGUGGAGGCUCGCAGCGGUUCUGACGUGCAAAUCGAUCGUCAAAUUUGCGUAUAGGGGCGAAAGACUAAUCGAACCAU